CUUACAUACGAGAUUUACAACUUUGCAUGUUUCACUAAAGAAGAAUUUUGCACCUUUUGAAUUCAUGGUAAGUUCACUUUAUCUUGUUUUAAAAGAGGGACGAAAAAUACCAGAGGGACAGUCAAACUCAUAAAUAGACAAUAAACUGACAACGCCAUGUCUAAAAACGAAAAGGGCAAACAGAUAAACAAUAGUACACAUAACACAACAUAGAAAACUAAAGAAUAAACAACACGAACCCCACCAAAAACUAGGGGUGAUCUCAGAUACUCCGGAAGGGUAAGCAGAUCCUGCUCCACAUGUGAAUUAAACAUGCCCAAUAGAGUGAUUCAAAAAUUAAUUAAAAGACAAAUACACUGCAACAAAACAAUUCACGAAAACUUUCUGCAUUUUCCAUUUGAAAAUUUUAAAUUUUGUAAAUUUAACAUAUCUUUACUAUAUGUUAAAUUUACAAAAUUUACAACUGCAAGGAUGCAACGAAUUAUUCAAAUCAAUUUCGACCAUAUUUCAUAUAAAUCGCUGUUUUCCUUUUAGUUAAUAUGUUACAAAAAAGAAAACAAACAAUAAAAUUAUUAGUUUCGAUUUUAUAGAUUCAAUUUUUGAGCAAUGCAUCGUUCUUAUACUCGUUUAUUGAAAAUUAAAGACAAAGUACGUAUAUUUUCAAAAAAAAUAAUUAAAAUUUAAAUAAUCUAAUCCGAAAAAAAUCAUUGAACUUGUAUUUUGUAGACGAUAUCAACCUUCAAAAAAGUAUUACUGCAUCACAGCAUAUGAACAGAUAUUUACUCAGUAACGUAUAAUCUCAAAUGAAAAUUUAUUAUCACAGAAAUUGCGUCGUUUAUGCAAUGUAAUACUAUUGUAUUCCAUUAUGAAAAAAUUGCUUAAUAUGAUAAAAUAAAAUGUAUAUCAUUUCAAAUUAUUAUUUAACCUUUUAUUUUUUAAAAUGAAAAGAAACCGAUAUUCUUUUCAUCAGAUUUUUAUUCAAUAGUGUUGUAAUCUACUAAAUUAUCACAUGUCCUCUAAAAUCAAGUCACGAAAACGUUUUUUUAUAAUAGUGUUGUAUUGAAUAAUCAACUCCAUCUUAUAUAAGAAUAAUGUAUAAACUUUCAUAUUUUUGUUAACUAUGAACAAUAAGCUAUAAAGGUAAUUAUAAAAACAUGAUAUGUAAUAGUCUUAAGAUAAAAAUCCACGAAUAUUAAAAUUAUUCUUAAAACAAUUUUUUUUUAAUUAUUUUAUUAAAAAUAAGAUAAAAUCAUCAUUCUAAAGCGUGUGUCUGAAGACUUUAGUUAUAAGAAAAUGCAAAUAUUGGUUCGUCUUGAAUACUGUGUAAUAACCCUUCCCCUAGACAGUCUGUUUUUGAAGUAGGAGAAAACCUAAUAAAGUAGGGAUAUUUUAAGUGUAAAUUAAAUAGAAGCGUUCAUGAAAACGGGUGUUUUUUUUUUUUAUUAAUAUGAGUUCGAAAACGAAAUGUAAUGAAGAUAAUGCUUAUUUCUUUGAUAAUGGAGUUUGUUUUAAACAUAAAUUACGGGUUCGAACAGAAAAAAUAUCAUAAUAUUAAAGAUUAUAAAUUGAUUCACUAAAAUAUCGGAAUAUGAGGCAUUGCACAAAUUGAAUUUUAUAAAUGUGCUAUUUGAGGGAUACAAAUAUGGUAUAGUGUGUUAAAUCGGAUAAAAAUUGAUACUGUUAUUAUCAUAAAAAAAAUCAAUAUAAUCAUAAUUUCAUUUAUUUAUAACUUUUAUAAGUCUCUGUUGAAAUGCUGACUAAUUUUAAUACUGUAAGAUUUAAAUUUUUCAUCUCUAUCUGUGAAAUUGCUUAUAUAAGAGUUAUUCCUAUGACCAGUCUUGAUGGAAAUUUGCACUUACGGCCUUUUCAUAUAUAAUUCUAUUACUUAGCUCCUGUUAAUAAAUCGUAUAAUUUAUUACUUAAAUCUGUCAUUAUAAUUAAAUUUUGUUAAUGCAUUACACAAAUUUUCAACAUGCAUAUUUUCAUCUCUAUUUUUUAAUAUCAGCAGAACUAAUGUCUGAGUACAUUAAUUUAAUAAUUUUUAAUUGAUAUCUGGACAAUAAAUAUGACUGCAAAUAUUUGACAGGGGCGAGUUCAACCAUGGAGUAAAAGAAAAGAACAAAAACUUAAAAGCUGAAUAUUUGAUGUCAAAUCAGAAAACGUUCAUGAAGAAACCAGCACGUACCAAUGCGUUCAUGGCACAUUUGAUAUUAUUUUAAUAACU
rnacentral:lncRNA from 1 species